rnacentral:rRNA from 1 species
GGCGGCGUGCCUAACACAUGCAAGUCGUACGAGAAAGCCGGCUUCGGCUGGUGAGUAAAGUGGCGCACGGGUGAGUAACGCGUGGAUAAUCUGCCCUUUAGUUUGGAAUAACGUACCGAAAGGUGCGCUAAUACCGGAUAAUACUGAAUGACUACUGUCGUUUAGUCAAAGAAGGCUUCUGUUUACAUGCUUUUGCUGAAGGAUGAGUCCGCGUACCAUUAGCUAGUUGGUAGGGUAAUGGCCUACCAAGGCGACGAUGGUUAGCUGGUCUGAGAGGAUGAUCAGCCACACUGGAACUGAGACACGGUCCAGACUCCUACGGGAGGCAGCAGUGAGGAAUAUUGCGCAAUGGGGGCAACCCUGACGCAGCAACGCCGCGUGAGUGAGGAAGGUUUUCGGACCGUAAAGCUCUGUCGAGCGGGAAGAAAUGCAUGGUGGCUAAUAUCCAUCAUGCUUGACGGUACCGCUAAAGGAAGCACCGGCUAACUCCGUG